AUUGAACGCUGGCGGCAGGCUUAACACAUGCAAGUCGAGCGGGGUGAUGGUGCUUGCACUAUCACUUAGCGGCAGACGGGUGAGUAAUGCUUAGGAAUCUGCCUAUUAGUGGGGGACAACAUCUCGAAAGGGAUGCUAAUACCGCAUACGUCCUACGGGAGAAAGCAGGGGAUCACUUGUGACCUUGCGCUAAUAGAUGAGCCUAAGUCGGAUUAGCUAGUUGGUGGGGUAAAGGCCUACCAAGGCGACGAUCUGUAGCGGGUCGGAGAGGAUGAUCCGCCAAACUGGGGCUGAGACACGGCCCAGACUCCUACGGGAGGCAGCAGUGGGGAAUAUUGGACAAUGGGGGGAGCCCUGAUCCAGCCAUGCCGCGUGUGUGAAGAAGGCCUUAUGGUUGUAAAGCACUUUAAGCGAGGAGGAGGCUCUUUUGGUUAAUACCCAAGAUGAGUGGACGUUACUCGCAGAAUAAGCACCGGCUAACUCUGUGCCAGCCGCCGCGGUAA
rnacentral:rRNA from 1 species